rnacentral:rRNA from 1 species
GACGAACGCUGGCGGCGUGCUUAACACAUGCAAGUCGAACGGAAAGGCCCUGCUUUUGUGGGGUGCUCGAGUGGCGAACGGGUGAGUAACACGUGAGUAACCUGCCCUUGACUUUGGGAUAACUUCAGGAAACUGGGGCUAAUACCGGAUAGGAGCUCCUGCUGCAUGGUGGGGGUUGGAAAGUUUCGGCGGUUGGGGAUGGACUCGCGGCUUAUCAGCUUGUUGGUGGGGUAGUGGCUUACCAAGGCUUUGACGGGUAGCCGGCCUGAGAGGGUGACCGGCCACAUUGGGACUGAGAUACGGCCCAGACGCCUACGGGAGGCAGCAGUGGGGAAUAUUGCAAAAUGGGCGGAAGCCUGAUGCAGCAACGCCGCGUGCGGGAUGACGGCCUUCGGGUUGUAAACCGCUUUCGCCUGUGACGAAGCGUGAGUGACGGUAAUGGGUAAAGAAGCACCGGCUAACUACGUG